rnacentral:rRNA from 1 species
UGGGGGAAUUUUUGGACAAUGGGGGGAAACCCUGAUCCGGCCAUCCCGCGUGUGCGAUGAAGGCCUUCGGGUUGUAAAGCACUUUUGGCAGGAAAGAAACGUCGCGGGUUAAUGACCCCGCGAAACUGACGGUACCUGCAGAAUAAGCACCGGCUAACUACGUGCCAGCAGCCGCGGUAAUACGUAGGGUGCAAGCGUUAAUCGGAAUUACUGGGCGUAAAGCGUGCGCAGGCGGUUCGGAAAGAAAGAUGUGAAAUCCCAGAGCUUAACUUUGGAACUGCAUUUUUAACUACCGGGCUAGAGUGUGUCAGAGGGAGGUGGAAUUCCGCGUGUAGCAGUGAAAUGCGUAGAUAUGCGGAGGAACACCGAUGGCGAAGGCAGCCUCCUGGGAUAACACUGACGCUCAUGCACGAAAGCGUGGGGAGCAAACAGGAUUAGAUACCCUGGUAGUCCACGCCCUAAACGAUGUCAACUAGCUGUUGGGGGCCUUCGGGCCUUGGUAGCGCAGCUAACGCGUGAAGUUGACCGCCUGGGGAGUACGGUCGCAAGAUUAAAAACUCAAAGGAAUUGACGGGGGUCAUAGCUGUUUCCU